rnacentral:rRNA from 1 species
AUUGAACGCUGGCGGCAGGCCUAACACAUGCAAGUCGAGCGAGCGGCGGACGGGUGAGUACUGCAUGGGGCCUGCCCGAUAGAGGGGGAAAACUACUGGAAAAGGUAGCUAAUACCGCAUACUAUCGGAUAACCCAUAUGGGAUUAGCUAGUAGGUGAGGUAAUGGAUGACCUAGGCGACGAUGCCUAGCUGGUCUGAGAGGAUGAUCAGCCACACGUGAACGGCGAUACGGCCCAGACUCCUACGGAGGCAGCAGUAGGGAAUUUUGCGCAAUGGGCGAAGGCCUGAGACAGCCAGGCCGCGUGUAUGAAGAAGGCCCUAGGGUUGUAAAGUACUUUCAGUCGGGAGGCGUUACCGAAAGAAGAAGCACCGGCUAACUCCGUGCCAGCAGCCGCGGUAAUUC